AGUGAACGCUGGCGGUAGGCCUAACACAUGCAAGUCGAACGGCAGCACAGUAAGAGCUUGCUCUUACGGGUGGCGAGUGGCGGACGGGUGAGGAAUACAUCGGAAUCUACUUUUUCGUGGGGGAUAACGUAGGGAAACUUACGCUAAUACCGCAUACGACCUACGGGUGAAAGCAGGGGAUCUUCGGACCUUGCGCGAUUGAAUGAGCCGAUGUCGGAUUAGCUAGUUGGCGGGGUAAAGGCCCACCAAGGCGACGAUCCGUAGCUGGUCUGAGAGGAUGAUCAGCCACACUGGAACUGAGACACGGUCCAGACUCCUACGGGAGGCAGCAGUGGGGAAUAUUGGACAAUGGGCGCAAGCCUGAUCCAGCCAUACCGCGUGGGUGAAGAAGGCCUUCGGGUUGUAAAGCCCUUUUGUUGGGAAAGAAAAGCAGCAGGUUAAUACCACGCUGUUCUGACGGUACCCAAAGAAUAAGCACCGGCUAACCUCGUG
rnacentral:rRNA from 1 species